UACGUAGGGGGCAAGCGUUGUCCGGAUUUAUUGGGCGUAAAGAGCGUGUAGGCGGCCAGAUAGGUCAGCUGUGAAAACUCGAGGCUCAACCUCGAGAUGUCGGCUGAAACCAUCUGGCUAGAGUCCGGAAGAGGAGUGUGGAAUUCCUGGUGUAGCGGUGAAAUGCGCAGAUAUCAGGAAGAACACCUAUGGCGAAGGCAGCACUCUGGGACGGUACUGACGCUGAGACGCGAAAGCGUGGGGAGCGAACAGG
rnacentral:rRNA from 1 species